ACAUGAAAUUUUAAUCUGAAGGAAACAAAUCAAGACCAACUUUUAAAUGUAAACAAACAAUAUUCAUUAAAUGGUGUUUGAUGUCAGUAACUUCCUAGCUCAAGAUGCUGACUUGGGAAAGGUAACAUAUUUUUAAAUGAUUUUGAAGACAGAAUCAUUUGAUUCUACCAAAUAUGAGUUAUGCUCAUAAAUAUGUUUAUUUGAAUUUAUUGCACUGUACUCUAACAAAGGCAACUGCACAUGGACAGCAGGAAAACAAAAUUGUAAAUUGUUAAAUAAACCACAAGUGCAAGCAGAGCAUCAUCUGCUGACUAGUAGAAAUGAAGCCAAUUAAAAUUCUGCUGAUUUUCACAGGAAUAUCGUCUCAUGUGACUGAACCCAUAGAACAUUUUUAAAUGCAAAUAUUCAUAAUACAUAUAUUAGAAUACACAGUGAAAUCCUCAGCAUACAGUCCUACUAACAUGGAUAUUACAGUUUAAAAUAACUGGCCGAUUUCAUCAGAGAACAUCCCUGUGUAAGGAAGAGAUCCUGGUGGCAUAAGACGGACAGAAUGGCACUACACCAUCCCCACCCUUUAGCAGCCCCAGCACAAGAAGACUAAAUUCUGGACCUGAACUCAACACCUCUGCAAGGUCCAGCGAUGCCUGGUUGAAAGCUUGAUCCAGCAAGGUGCUGAGCAUUGUGCACCCAACUCAGCAAAGCACAUGCUUACCUUUAAUCAUGUGUGUAAUCUGAUGUCAUGGGUACUAUUUGCAUGCUAAGUGCUUUGCUGGAUCCGCUGUACAGUGUUCAGGUCCUUGCAUGAGCAAGCCCAAGAAGAGCCCACAGGCUGCCAAGCCAGCUUAAUAGACAGCUAAAGCUUUAUUCUGCAUACAGGAAAACAAAAUCGGUAAGCAACAUGAUAACUUAAUAUUCUUCCAAGUUCCUCUAAAUGUAAAACUUAGUUAAUAGCAAAAGAAAUUUACAUAGAAAAUAUCUAAACCUUAUCAAAAUUUGCAUUUGUUCUAACCACACAUUUGAGCUACUGUAUGUCAUGUCAAGUUUUGUCAGCUGCACAUCAUCAGAUAACCUACUCAUUUCCAGAAUAGAGAUGUGACCAAGUUUCAAAACAAAGGCUUCUCUGAACAACAGGCAUUAGCUGCUGACUCAAAUAGAGCAAGAAUUUGAGUGUCCCCAGCAAAGAUUGCUCACACACAAAAAGUUCCAAAACCUGUUUUAAAAAUUGCCAAAAAUUAUUAUUUUGGGGUUAUUUAAAAGUACAAAAAAGACAAUCUUUAUAAAAUGCAUUUCUCUAAUCAGAAUUCUGCAAAAAAGGUAUCAUAUUUUAAAAUGCUAUGUCAUAUGGUGACAAAUCUUGUCAGGUGAUAUCUGUCAUGCGAAUGCAAAGAGUUUUUACAGAGCACCAAAAUUCACUGAGCUUGCUUUUCAUGUUCUCUUUCAUAACAUCUUCUGUUACUUGUUUUUAUUAAAAGUAAAAAUUCCCAGUUAACUGUCCAUUGUUCUUUCUCUCUCUCACACACACACAUAAGGAACCAUGGAAGGUGUAACAUCAAGGGCUGUCUGGGAUUUUACAAUCAUUGCUAUCCUGCACACCAUGGACACACAGAAAAUCAGAACUGACAUUUUAAAAUGUGUAUAUUUCUUAUUAGAUACUUUGCUCCAAAUACACUGAUGCCUUGAGCAGAGAGGAAGAGAAAAGUCUCUUUUAGCUGCAACACUAUUAUGGCUUAUGAUAUUCACACUUGAACAGGUCUGACAUUCAAUUUAGUAAGAGUAUAGUGGUACAACUACAGUAGCCAUUUUUAAAACCCUGUUGAUAUUCCCUCACCAAAGAGACAGUGUUACCUCAGUAUUUCGCAAUAUUCUCUGUACUCUUCUGAUAGACUAUAGGAAAUACCUUGAUCACUGUAAAACAAAGUGGUCACAUCAUUACAUUAACUAAGACAAUCGGGAAGCUUUUAAGGAUGACCUAUGUACACACAACCCAGGACAUUACAACAGAUGUAUCAUCAUCAUCACAGCAAAUCCUAAAGGAAAAUAGCCUCCUUACAGAUCAAGUGCCACUUGGAUCACUCUCUGGUUAGGUCCUUAAGGUGGUCUGGCUGGAUAUUCAGUUUAUGUCCAUUCAGUUUAUGAUCUUCUUGUACCACCAAAGCUUUUGGUGACCACAAGAUCACUGGCUGUGUAGCAACAUUCCUUGGCAAACAAACUUCAUAAUUCUUUGGUCUUCCAUCCUAAUGAUAUGUCUGUACCAAGAAAGGUGCCAAAAUCCAUCCACUCCUGAUGGAGGCAAUUGCUAGGUCUGGCUAUGAAUAAUCUUCAGUGUUGAUCUUGUCCUGCUACUUAACAUGUAACAGCUGACAAAGAUGAUGAGAAUCAAAAACAUCAAUCUGCCACUCUUUGGCCUUCAUUGUCUUUCACUGCCAUACAGCAGAGAUAAUAUAACAGUGGUAUGUAGCAAGUUUGAUGUCACAAUAUCCCCACAAAGUCACCAAAACAUGGCACAGCUGCUGCUUUGUGAAUGUCCACAUCUUUCAAGGAUCUUCCAGCACAAUCAAUCACACUUCCAAGUAUCUGACAGUUGCCACCUGCUUGAUGUCUCAUCCAGACAGGUUAAUACUAAACUGGUUGUAAUCUGGAGCUGGAGGCUGCGUGAUGGUAGUGCCAAAUGACUCAAUUUUGUUCAGAUUAAUAACCAGACCAAUGCACGCUGCUUCUGGCAUGACCCGAUCAGCCAUCAGCUGGAGACUGAGACAACAAGACAAUAUCAUUGAUGUAUCUGAGAUCUCACAGCAGAAGGUGUCCAGUUCAAUGCCACCAAGAGCUGUCUCCUCAAGCUUAUCCAUCAUCUAAUCAAUACAGAUAUUGAACAAUGAUGGUAACAGAACUCAGCUUGCUGUAUUCCCACAGAAACAGGAAAUCAUGUUGCAUAUCUGCCAUUGACUCAAACACAGCUUUCCAUUCCAUGAUAGAACUCUUCUAUCAAUGACACUCUCUUCCCAGGGGCACCAAGUAUCUUGUCAGAUCCCUACAAACUUGCUCAAUGCACUAAAUCAAAGGCCUGAUGGGAGACUAUAAGAAGUACUGUAUACAGAAGUGUAGAGGAAACAUGAUAUCAAGUAUGACAAAGUUCUGUUGGCAAAUAUGUCAAUGAGAACCAGUGGUAUGAAAAAUCUUACUGUGAAACACCUUGUGUAUGUGUGUAUCACAACUGGGGCUGUCAUUACAUGCUGAUAUAACUCUACCCAAUGUAAUAUAUUGGAAAAGAGACAACUAAGGGGGGAAAUGAUUGAGGUCUAUAAAAUCAUGACUGUUGUGAAGAAAGUAAACAAGGAAGCGUUAUUUACUCCUUCUCAUAACACAAGAACUGGGGGUCACCAAAUGAAAUUAAUAGGCAGCAGGUUUAAAACAAACAAAAGGAAGUAUUUUUUCACACAAUGCACAGUCAACCUGUGGAAAUCCUUGCCAGAGGAUGUUAUGAAGGCCAAGACUAUAACAGGGUUCAAAAAAGAACUAGAUAAGUUCAUGGAGGAUAGGUCCUUCAACGGCUAUUAGCCAAGAUGGGCAGGGAUGCUGUCCCUAGCUUCUGUUUGCCAGAAGCUGGGAAUGGGUGAUAGGGGAUGGAUCCGUUGAUGAUUACCUAUUCUGUUCAUUCUGUCUGGGGCACCUGGCCUUGGCCACUGUCAGAAGACAGGAUACUGGGCUAUAUGGACCUUUGGUCUGACCCAGUAUGGCCGUUCUUAUGUUCUUAAUAUACUGUUCAGAUAAUAAAAUGUGGUAUGAUAUAAUUAUUUCAUACAGUUGUGAGUGGAAAUUUUCAAAUGAACAAAGGAAAAGUUUGGUACCUAGCUCCCACUGAAACCCGAUGGAUUGGGCACCUAGCUAACUCAAAUUUUUGCCUUUGAAAAUCCACUCCCAGAAUGCAUCAUCACAUUUUUGAGGAAAACUGGAAUACCUGACAAGAAUAGCCUGGGACCCAGUCUUCUCAGAGAUUGCCUCUUCUCCUAGUUCCUGCUACAAAAGCGAUGUGCCAUGCUGUGUGUGUUCAAAGUGCCAUGCAUUAAUCAAAUAUUAAUAAUGAAUUAACCAACAGGUGCCAAAACACCACAAUGAUUACUUCAUCAAGGACUUCUCUCCAUCUGCCUUUCUGGGAAAGUUUUAAUCAAACUGAUCAACUUCCCCCAGUACUGUCUCUCGUAACAGGCUAACUCAUAAUGAAGAGCUAACAGAUGUAAUGUGGCAGUUCCACAGUCAGAAAAUGAAUGUGUUAAAACUUUUUAUUUUUAAUUAUAGCUUUCAGGAUACCACAAAAACUGAAGAAAAAAGAAUCAGUGUUUUUCUUGCUUCUUAUAUCACACAUGGAGUCUCAAAGUGAGACUUAAAAGAAAGAAAAAUUGCAAAUAUUAAAUGUGUGCAUCCAUUCUCUAAAGCCGCUUGUAAUUCAGAUAUUUUCCAAUCCCUGAAACUACAGGCAGUUCCCAUUAGGUCUUGAGACAGAUGGUAGCAUGAAGAGGCAGGUAACAUAAGAUAAACAGCCAUAACAGUCAGAACGCCACCUUGCAGCUUUGAAGACUCUUGCCACCCCAGCUCUUCUCAUCAGUCACCUUGAGAAAAAGCAACAGUUAAAAUAUUUCUCUAGUUAAUGAGAAAACUCUGCAGUGUUUCCAGAGGUCCCUUCUGAAUGAUCCAGUCCCUGCAUUUUAAUUUAGGUUUACAAGUUUCAGGUUUUAACAGAAUGAACUAUGCAUAACAACACACUUCAUAAUACGAAAUUGAAAGCCCUUGAUACACUUGGUCUACUGAAGAUUUUAAUUCUAAAUCCGGAACAAAUAAAACCAAGUAAACACAGCAGGGCUUUAACCUCACUCUUCUAACAUGCAAUAAUCUUAUUUGGGAAUGGGUUUUAGCACAGAUAUGGGAGAAGUUGUAACAACAAAAUACAUAAACUCUGACAGGAAAAGGAAGGUAUUUACAUUUCAUUUUUCCAUGUUUGUAAUUAAACAAUCCUUUUACAAUUAACUGUGAUUAUCAUCUAAUCUACAGAAGACUCUUUCCAUUACUGCAUAUAAACAGGGUUUUCACAUUCCUUUGAAAACACUUAUUGGAGUGUUAAUUUGAAAAUAAUGGGCCAUAUUUUAAGGAGCAGACUGUAGCUCCUGCAUAGCCAUUAGGAGCUCAUCAAUGGACAAAUUUUUGAGCCAGGAAAAUCUACUGUCCCAGUUUGACAUCUGGAUCCUAGUCAUAGUCUGAAGAGAACAAGAGACACUGCUGGGGGAAGGGGGGGGGAUUCUGCGUGACUAGGCACCUGCAGAAAAUGGCUGCCCCGCAGAUUUCCUGUUUCCCUGCAGAAAAUGGCAGGGAAGCCCCACGGGGGGGAAUGCAGGGGUAGACCAUGGGCGCAGUUUGGGGGGGCAUUGCCCCCCUCCAAACAGAGGCGAGGCAUGGGGGGAUACACGGGAUUACAUGCCACUGCCCCCUCCCCCCAUUCUGCAAGUGCAGACCUGCCCAGCUGAAGGAGGCUGUGUCUGGGCUCCGCUGACUGCAGCUGAACACCAGCUCCUGGGUCCUAGUGCCAGUCGGGCUCCCCUUCUGUGUGCAGGGAGCCUUCCUGUCUUCUGUUCCGUGCAACAGAAAAUAACAAUACAAAAAGGGAGAGGAAUGGGGAGACUAGAGCAGAAUGAAGGUGAAGAAAUGUAGCCACCCAAAUAGACAGAGGGAGAAGAAAAGAGAAAAAGGCACAGAAAUCAAUCACAUUUGACAUCCCUGCUUCCAGCGCAUAAUGGAACUGCUACCAACACACUUUGAAAAGAUACAAUUUCUGCUGUAGAGGUUCUCCCCCUCCUCCUCCUCCUUCUUCUCCCCCCUCCACCCCCUUCCCAAGGCUGAAUUAUGUAUAAAAUAUUUAUGGUUACUCCUGUUGUAGUAAAACUGUUCUCAUUGCAGUUUCCCUGCUAAGUAAAAUUGCAUUGUAAAAGGAUGUGUCUGUAAUUCUGAAGUUUCUGGUAGUUUGUGAUGCAAAUCAUCUUUUUCAGUUAGUGAAGACUGUAAGAAUAAAAGCACCAGCCAAUUCUGAG